AUGCACCGAUUGAAGCAACAAAUCCGACUGAAACUGACAUGUAAGUUUAAAAUGAUUCAUUUGAGACAUUUUUUUAGCAAAUCUCUGCCUAUUCAGCACAUAACAAGAGCAGGUCAUCAGUACCAUAAUUCCUUUUUCUUAACCCUAACCCUAAUACUGUAUUGUAAAUUAGACAUUGCUGGUAUGUGAAAAUAAAUAGAUUUGGUGGAGAAAUAUCUUUCGUUUUAGAGCAAAUGCAUAGAUUCCAACAAAGGUUAAAAGUGCAUUGUAAUAAAAUGUUUGUACUCAAUAUACACAUAUUCUACAAGCACUUCGGUUAACUAUAAUACUAGUACAUGUACGAUAUUCAUUGGUUCAGAUUGGAAUAAAUCCAUCUUCAUCAGAAGCAUCUGGAGUCUAUGGAAUAUGA